AGAAGAGCAAGAAAUGUAAAUAUCCCUCCCAAAAUCCUCUUUUCAAAAAUGUUUGAUGGAAGUUUUGAAACUCUUGAAGUGAAUUCAACAGAUGACUCAUGGUUUGCAGGAUGUAAAAGUAAACUAAGAAAAGCUGUGAUAUUUAAGAAGAUAAUCCUGUACAUUACCAGAUCUCACUCUGAAGCCAUUUGUCUCCCUCCCAAGAGAGGCCAUUUUUCUAAAAUAAAGUCUGAGUGAAGUAAUUUCUAAGAAACUGUGAAAAGGACUCAUUUUCUUCUGUUUUCUUUGUGAAUUUUUCUUCUGAAAUGUAAGCCUUCUGUGACCUAGUUUAAUAAAAGAUCUGUGCAAAUGUCAUGGUAAAGCAUACAGCAAGUCAUUCUGUCAUUUCAACAUGGCUAAUCUGUAUUGAAACCAGUAAGAGUUUACCAAGUCAA